AUGGCGGCCGCAGCCUGCGGUUAUUGCGAUUGUCCAAGUACUAAUUCAGCGAAACCUCACAAAGAACACCUGCGAAAAAGUCGGGACACCCGUCGGAGACAAGCGGCCCUGUUAUUUCUCACUAACAUAUCUUUGGACGGACGACCGGUUUUCAAUCUAAGCAGUGGAAUCGUUGGCCCCAGGGAAGCCGAGAACCGGUGUGUAGAUGUCGGAGCGACAGCGACGACGGGUCCCCCUCUGUCGACAACCAGCAGCUACGGAACCUUCACCCAGGUGUCAUCCUCCGUCAGCGGAGGAGCUGCUACCCCUUUACCGGGGACUAACACCUGCCCUGCUCCUCUUCAAUUUAAUUUAGGGAGUAGCGACGUUUUCACGGAUGAUGGAAGAGCAGAUCCUUUGUCAGUACAUGGACCCCCGCUUUCACCGACUUCUGGACCGUUGAAUCCCCUUAUAGGAUCCAGCAAAUCGCCCAGCCAGUUCCCGGGCUCUAAUCCCUUGCCUGAUCCCCGACAAAGGACUCGUAACCUGUCUGGGUCCCCGGGGCCGAAGGUUUCCAAGAAGGUGCACUUCAUCAAGAACAUGAGACAGUAUGAUACGCGAGGUAGCAGGGUUGUGCUGAUCUGUGCCAAGAGAUCCCUGUGUGCUGCUUUCUCUGUAUUACCCUAUGGAGAGAGCUAUCACAUCAGUGACUCAAAACUAGAAGCCCAGAGACAGAGGCACUCUUCUGGUGGGGGAGGAGAUAUGGUCCCUGGGCUGGAGGGAGUGGAGGUGGACUUUGGAAAGACAGUAUCAUACGCCCGCUUCCUUCUCCCAACUAAUGCCUUGGUCAGGCAAAGGAGCAGUGGCCCACCUGAUGUCAGUACAGCCCAGACCCCCAUGUCUCGAAACCGCAUAAACAUUCAGAAAAACUUCACCCCCUCCCGUAUCAACAGCACCAUUGGGCAAGACACUGGUGUGGAUGAGCUUUCAGACUAUGACCCCAACUUACUGAGUGACCCCCAGUGGCCUUGUGGGAAGCACAAACGGGUCUUGAUAUUUGCGUCCUAUGUGACAACGGUUAUUGAAUAUGUGAAACCAUCUGACUUGAAGAAAGACAUGAAUGAGACAUUCAAGGAGAAGUUUCCACACAUAAAACUGACCCUUAGCAAGAUUAGAAGUUUGAAAAGGGAGAUGCGAUCUGUGAGUGAGGAGUGUGGCCUACAGCCAGUUACCAUAGCAAUGGCCUAUGUUUACUUUGAAAAGCUGGUUCUGCAGGGACGAUUGAACAAGCACAACAGAAAGCUGGUGUCUGCUGCCUGUGUUUUACUGGCUGCCAAGAUUAGCAGUGAUCUCAAGAAACAAGAAGUCAAGCAAUUGAUUGAUCAGAGGUUGGAGGAGCGCUUCCGAAUAAAUGGCAAAGAGUUGAUUUCCCUAGAGUUCACUGUCCUGGUUGCCAUGGAGAUGGCACUGUACCUCCCCGACAGCAAGGUCAUGCCUCACUAUCGCAGACUGGUACAACAGGUCUAAACUAGAGAGGACCCUCAUGAGGUGCCCUUAGAGCACAGCGAUAUGAUUCUGAGCUAAGGCGAUUCUGGAAGUUUUUUUUUAUUAUUAUUAUUUAUCAAUUCAACAAAUCCCAGAUCAGUAGUUUUCUCACUGCUAUGUCUAGUGGUCUCAGAACUCCAGUCUUCACUUGUUUACUUCUUCACGUGUUUACUUCUCCCUGUUCUUCAUGAAACUGACUGUAUAAAUGAGAGAGAGACUGAGAGAGAGACUGAGAGAGACUGAGAGAGAGACUGAGAGAGACUGAGACUGAGAGACUUAAAGCAGAGUUUUUUUUUUUUAAGAAAAAUUAAGAUUGUGUCAUCACUUAAUAAUCCUCAUGUUGUCCCAAAUCGGACUUUCUUUCUAAUGUGGAACAUUAAAAGGAGAUGUUAGGGAGAAUGUUAGCCUCAGUCAUUAUUCACAUUCAUUGUAUAAAGAAAAACAAAAUGCAAUGAAAGGGAAUGGUGACUGAGGAUAUUAUUCUGCCUAACAUUUCCUUUUGUGUUCCAUAGAAGAAAGUCAUAUGAUUUAUGAACAACAUGAUGGUGAGUAAAUGAUGACAGAAUUUUUUAAACUUUAAGUUUUUAUCCCAUGUAAUUUUUUUUUACACAGCAAAUAUUUGUCAAACUUAAAUUUUUCAAAUAUUUUUUAAGCGUUGUAUUGAUGCAUUACUUUAUUUAUGUAAUAUGCUAUUUAUGGAUGACAUUAGUUUUAUUACAUAUUAUAACUUAUGGAAAUGGAAUGUUAUAUUUUUUAUGGCUUGAGUGUCGAUUUGGGGUAUGUGUGGCAUUCCGAUGUGUAUCCAGCCAGGCACUCUAUGUUAGAGAUGACAUUUAACAAGCACAUUAAUCGUGCUCCUCUGGUUGUCCUUAUUGUUUUUUCCAGUCAUUUAACAUUUGCCAACUAUAGACUGAUUUUACAGUGGAAUGAUACGCAGGUUAAGGAGGUUUUUUAGGUACUAUUGUGAGAGCCAUUUUCAGCUGUUUGUCAAAUGUUUAUAGAAACUGAACUGUUUACCAGUUGUCUUCAUUAUAGAUGCAAGUGUUUUCAGUGUCUUGAAUCUUGAAAGUUUAUGAUUUUAAGACUUUUAUGCACAACUGUCACAUUUACAGUACUGAAAUGUAUUUAAUUUGAUAAUUAAUUAAUCUAAUGUGUGCUAAAUAUCAUUUUAUGUGAAAAGUGGAUUAAGCACAUGUUGCAAACUGUAGAUUUUACUAAUGACUCCACAUGUAUAUUCUGCUGUUUGUUCAUAGAGGAUCACCUCCAUGACAAUGAACAGAUAGUCUGUUUUUGUGUUGUGCAGUGUUGAAUAUGAGCUAAUAUAUAUGAAUCUUUCUAGUUGGUGUUCAUACAAUGUUGUCUUAUCUUAUUCUCUAAAAUCCUUCAAUCCUUAGGAGUGUUCUGUGUUUACUUUGAACCCGGACAGUAUCACAUUAUGGAGCAUUACUAUUUAAUCACUAUGCAACAUUUAUUUUUUAUUUUAUCUGAUUUCAGCAGCAUAAUUUGAUUUAUGACUAUCAGACAUUUCACUCCUGGAGAAGCUGUUGACUAAUUUGCCUGUUUAUUUUUUUGGUAGCUGAAGCACACAUCUACCAUCUAGUGGUGGACUUUCAAAUGUGAUUGAUCUGAUUCUGUAAGUUGCAUUUGCUCCUUUGAGUAGAUUGGGGAUUUAGAUUUCAGAGGCAAAUUAUCAGCUGUGAGAGGAUAAUUGAAUCGGAGAGAAUUAUGGGUAAUCACACUGAACAUUGAGAAACGAAGAAGUGCCUUUUCUAUUACAUUUGUCUAUUGUUAUGCUGCUAUACAAUUUUCCACAUCACCUGUUUAAUCACUUUGAACAUUUUGCUUAAUUUGAAUUUUGGUGUAGAUGAGGAUGGAAAACUGCGUGAUGGACUUUCAUGGAAGCGUUUGAGGAUCUUGAAUGGUAGAAGCACUGUGAGAGAUUGCUGUGAAAUUCUGCAUGAUUACUGUUUUUGGCCCCCUUGCCGCCCCCUGGGGGUCCCCAGACCCCAGUUUGAAAACCACUGUAUAGACAACAAUACAUAAAUCUCCACAGUCAAGGUUUAUAAGGAGUACAUCACCCAAAGUUUUGUCCAUUUAAGGUCAUUCUGUAUGAACUACUGACUUAACAGAAGGAUGCUGGAAAAACAGAAAUGUAAUCACGGCAUGUGAGAGAAUAUAAAGUGUGUUUAGGAAACGUUUUGGCUGGAAUGAUCCAGAGCGUUGUGUGUGUACAGA